UACGUAGGCAGCAAGCGUUGUUCGGAGUUACUGGGCGUAAAGGGUGUGUAGGCGGUUUUUUAAGUUUGGUGUGAAAUCUCCCGGCUCAACCGGGAGGGUGCGCCGAAUACUGAGGGACUAGAGUGUGGGAGAGGAAAGUGGAAUUCCUGGUGUAGCGGUGAAAUGCGUAGAUAUCAGGAGGAACACCGGUGGUGUAGACGGCUUUCUGGACCAUAACUGACGCUGAGACACGAAAGCGUGGGUAGCAAACAGG
rnacentral:rRNA from 1 species